UACAGAGGGUGCAAGCGUUGUUCGGAAUUAUUGGGCGUAAAGCGCUUGUAGGCGGUCUGUUAAGUCGCGUGUGAAAUCCCCAGGCUUAACCUGGGAAGUGCGCGCGAAACUGGCGGACUUGAGUGCCGGAGAGGGUCGCGGAAUUCCCGGUGUAGAGGUGAAAUUCGUAGAUAUCGGGAGGAACACCAGUGGCGAAGGCGGCGACCUGGACGGACACUGACGCUGAGACGGCGAAAGCGUG
rnacentral:rRNA from 1 species